rnacentral:ncRNA from 1 species
GCAGAGUAGGAACACACGUGUGAAAGAGUGCCGGAAAAACGGGGAGUUGUUUUCCGGACGAAAGGGCGAGCGAGCGCCUGCAGUGUGUGUUCCGCAUCCCGCUGC